GGCAAAAAGGCAAAGCGCGUGAGAUCAUCAUCCACGAACUAAACCAAACCAAACCCACCUUAAUUAUCAGUUCAUCACUUCUCUGCGCUAAUCACUUCACUCUUUGCUAACCACCUAAGUUCCAACCAACCAAUUUCUCUAACUCCUACAUCACAAGAUGUCGAUUUUUUGACCCAAACUGAAAUCUGAACAACUCGGAUUUUCUUUUCUAUUUCCGAUUCCGUUGACCAGAGCGAAUCGAUGCUUUUUUGGCCCGUUUAGAUGGUGAUCUUCAACACCUCUAUUACUGCUUGGAUCCGUCACCUUCUCGCUUGCAUGGGGUAAUUCUCGACAUUUUCAUGCUCAAUUAGUGAUUUCUUUUUCCAAGUAUUAAAAACUGCUUUCUCAAAUUACUAGUAGCUUUGCUGGAUUUUCAGGGUUUUUCUCCCCCUAAUUUUAGGAUUGUGGAAUGACCGUCUUCUUGUUGUUAGUUGUAGUUGUGGGUAAUUGGAUUCUAGUGGUGAUUUCUACUUUUGAAGCCUAGUUGAGAUUAAUGGUGGGUAAAGAUUUAAUCUUGGAUUUACUACUCAUGGAAUUUCAGUUUUUAAUGAAGAUCCGGCAGAAUUCCAACUUCACUUUGCGCCAUGUUCCAUUGAAUUGAUUUUCUUUCGAAAUAUAUAUAAGACUAGGUUGAGAGCUUAAGAACUUUUGUCAGGAGGUUAACUAAUUGCUUUCUUAGCUAUUAAACAAACUAAAAUCUCUUGAAUCAUUUCAGUAAUUUUAAAGGGCAAAACUUCAUUACCAAAAGGAAAUUAAGUUUCUUUACCAGCAAUUAAAACACCCAAGAAGUUUUAUAUGUACUUCUUCUAAUGAGAAGGGAAAUGGUUGAAGCUAUAUUGUAUUAACUGCUUCCUAUGACAAAGUGGGAGUUUAUCCUUCUUGCCCCUUAAUUCCUCCCAUAUUGGGUGUGCUGGGUUCUUUCCCUCCUCACUUUGGACAUAACAAGCUAUUUUAACACAUGAGAACUAUGAUUAAGAACAAACGUUAAAGACUUCCAUUUUUGUAUAUCAUUCUUUUAUCUUUGUUGUAUGCUUUAGAGCUAAGCCUUUCAAGCUUUGAACAAACUCAACCCAGCAAACCUAGUAUGCUUUCUUGUGACUAUGUGCAUUAGCGACUUAAAUUAUUUUGUGGUAUCAUUUCUACUCUAUUACUUACAGCUUCUUCCAUUAGCUCCUUGCCAAAAAAUGGAAAUUAAACGUGUAAAUAAGAAUGUUUCUAUGCUACUGAAGCUCCAGUUUUUUCACAAGAAACCAAUCAACUUUCUGCUUCUCAGGAAAGUGAUGAUGGUGAUUGCAUGAUCUCUAGCUUGAGUUGAACAAACAUAUUGCAUGAUCUCUAGCUUGAGUUGAACAAACAUGUUAUGACCAUUGCCAAUCUUAGCUCUUUUUCUACAUCUGGCCUCAACUUUAUCAUUUUCAUUGCUAUCGUUUAUUGUAUUUGUAUAUAUUUAACCUGGUUUGCAACAGAGCAGUGGUUGUUUUGGUUGCUGUGCUAAAUCCACUCCAAUUAUUGCUGUGGAUGAACCAUCAAAAGGAUUGAGGAUACAAGGACGGGCAGUGAAGAAACCUAGCAUAUCAGAUGAUUUUUGGAGCACCAGCACAUGUGAUUUGGAGAACAGUGCUGUGCAAUCUCAGAGAAGUGUCUCAUCAAUCAGUGUAUCAAAUGUGAAUCUCAAUAGUAGCACCAGUGGCACAAGCAGCAAUUCUGACUUUGUAAAUCAUGGUCUUCUUCUU
rnacentral:misc_RNA from 1 species